GAAUGGGUGGAGGAAUGAACGGGGGAAGAAUGAAUGGGUGAAGGAACGAACGGGGGAUGAAUGAACGGGGAGAGGAAUGAAUGGGUCGAGGGUAGAAUGAACGGGUAGAGGAAUGAACGGGCAGAAGAAUGAAUGGGUGGAGGAAUGAACGGUUGGAUGAAUGAACGGGGAGAGGAAUGAACGGGUGGAGGAAUGAACGGGGGAAAAAUGAACGGGGAGAGGAAUGAAUGGGUGGAGGAAUGAACGGGGGAUGAAUGAACGGGGAGAGGAACGGACGGAGGAACGAACGGGCAGAAGAAUGAAUGGCUGGAGGAAUGAACGGGGGAGGAAUGAACGGGUGAAGGAAUGAACGGGAGGAAUGAACGGACGGAAGAGUGAACGGGGGAUGAAUGAACGGGGGAAGAAUGAACGGGGAGAGGAAUGAACGGGUUGAGGAACGGACGGAGGAACGAACGGGCAGAAGAAUGAACGGGUGGAGGAAUGAACGGGUGGAGGAAUGAAUGGGUGGGGGAAUGAACGGGGGAGGAAUGAACGGGUGGAGGAAUGAACGGGGGAAGAAUUAAUGGGUGGAGGAAUGAACGGGCGGAAGAGUGAACGGGGGAUGAAUGAACGGGGAGAGGAAUGGAUGAAUGAACGGGUAGGAAUGAAUGGGUGGAGGAAUUGGACGGAGGAAUGAAUGGGUGGAGGAAUUAACGGUUGGGAGAAAUGAAAGGGUGGAGGAAUGAGUAGACGAAGGAAUGCACAGGGAGAAAUGAACGGACGGAAGAAUGAACGGGUGGAGGAAUGUACGGGGGAGGAAGAAACGGACGGAAGAAUGAGCGGGGGGAAUGAACGAAUGGAGGAAUAGACGUACGAAUGAAUGCAGGGAGGAACAAAUGGACAGUGGAAUGCGUUAACGUAGGAAUACACACAGUGGACUCUGAAGCUGAUGGAUGAGCAAAUAAAGGGCCAGAAAUUUAUAUGGAAUUCAGUUCGACUUAUGAACUUGAUCAUAUACAUAUAUACAUACAUACAUACAUAUGCAACUCUUUAUGUAUCUCGAUUAGUUUUAGGUUACAUAGUUAUUGUUUUCAAAGCAAAAAAUAAAAAUAAAUUACAUUCCGUACUUUUUUGUCACCAAACUUUCUUCUUGCCACUAAAUAUGCAAAUUAAUGUCCGAUUAGGCACCGGUAUUUAUGAGUGUAAACAACUCACACAUUGAGCAUUCGAAGACGCAGAUGCAUAUAGGGCAGUAAUAUAUCAUUAGUGGUCAGGCGCUGUGGUCAACUGGACAAUUUGUCAUAAUUACAAUAUUUAAAUCAGUGAAUGGAUAAUUAUGUACUUAAAUGCACAUGUGCAUGUGCGUGUAUAGAUUUGUGUAGUAUUUAUUGGCUUUCUUUUAACGCUUAGGGGUAUGCUUAACAGCUUACCUACUUAUUUACCUGAAAAUGGAAAUUAACAUACAGUGUUGCGCAAUAAAAUGGACACAAUCAUGUCGUGGGGUAUAAAUAAAUAUUAAUACAAUUGAAAAGCA